UGCAUAAGGUGAAAAGUGAGUGGAAAUUGUAAAAGCUGAAUGAGUAAGUCUUUAGACUAUAGUCUUUAACUAAAGACUAAGACUAAGCCUAUAGCCUAUAGUCUUUAGACCUUUAGACUGUAGUAUCGUCUUAGGCUAUAGGUGCUGGGCAAGUAAGCCAGUAUUGAACGUAGAUUUUUCUAAGACCUGUUAAAGCAAGGGAUCUUUGUUUCUUAAAUUCUUCUGAUAUAAAAAUGCUUCAUUGAUCUUCUUUGAAACACUGUCCUCUCCUUUUUAGGUAACCUAAAGUUUUUCUCAAAAAAAUAUGAGAGCAUUUGUUUUAUGAAUGAGUACUGAGAAACAAGAUGAAGUGAAUUGUUAAUCAUUCAGCACAUUUGUGUCACAGUUAGAUUUUGGAGUCACCCCUCAAAGUUAUAAUGAUCUGUAAUUAGCUUGAAGAAAUUGUAGAUUAUCAAGAACUGAUUAGAAUCUACUUGUUUUUGCUUCUUUUGGAAAUGUUGGGUAUAUUCUGGUCCCCUUUUACACAAAGUUUUUGAAAACUUUUUAAAAUACUCUUCCACAUUAGCAUAGUACUAUCUUUCUGAUCAUUUCUUCUCAAUUUGAUAGAGGAAAAAAGUUAGGUCAAGAUAACAGAGACUGGGAUAUA
rnacentral:sRNA from 1 species